CCCUUAGAUGUCCGGGGCCGCACGCGCGCUACACUGAAGGAAUCAGCGUGGCUUUCUCCCUGACCCGAAAGGGUUGGGAAACCCGUUGAAUCUCCUUCGUGAUAGGGAUUGGGGCUUGAAAUUGUUCCCCAUGAACGAAGAAUUCCCAGUAAGCGCGAGUCAUAAGCUCGCGUUGAUUACGUCCCUGCCCUUUGUACACACCGCCCGUCGCUACUACCGAUUGAACGGUUUAGUGAGGGCCUCGGAUUGGUCUCGGCCCGCUCUUUACCGGGCGGCGCCGUUGGUCGAGAAGACGCUCGAACUUGAUCGUUUAGAGGAAGUAAAAGUCGUAACA
rnacentral:rRNA from 1 species